rnacentral:rRNA from 1 species
AACAGGAUUAGAUACCCUGGUAGUCCACGCCGUAAACGAUGCUAACUCGUUUUUGGGUUUUCGGAUUCAGAGACUAAGCGAAAGUGAUAAGUUAGCCACCUGGGGAGUACGUUCGCAAGAAUGAAACUCAAAGGAAUUGACGGGGGCCCGCACAAGCGGUGGAUUAUGUGGUUUAAUUCGAUGAUACGCGAGGAACCUUACCAAGGCUUAAAUGGGAAUUGAUCGGUUUAGAAAUAGACCUUCCUUCGGGCAAUUUUCAAGGUGCUGCAUGGUUGUCGUCAGCUCGUGCCGUGAGGUGUUAGGUUAAGUCCUGCAACGAGCGCAACCCCUGUUACUAGUUGCUACCAUUAAGUUGAGGACUCUAGUAAGACUGCCUACGCAAGUAGAGAGGAAGGUGGGGAUGACGUCAAAUCAUCACGGCCCUUACGCCUUGGGCCACACACGUAAUACGAUGGCAGGUACAGAGGGCAGCUACACAGCGAUGUGAUGCGAAUCUCGAAGGCCUGUCUCAGUUCGGAUUGGAGUCUGCAACUCGACUCUAUGAAGCUGGAAUCGCUAGUAAUCGCGCAUCAGCCAUGGCGCGGUGAAUACGUUCCCGGGCCUUGUACACACCGCCCGUCAAGCCAUGGAAGUCUGGGGUACCUGAAGUCGGUGACCGUAAAAGGAGCUGCCUAGGGUAAAACAGGUAACUAGGGCUAAGUCGUAACAAGGUA